CCCCUACGGGAGGCAGCAGUGGGGAAUAUUGAACAAUGGGGGAAACCCUGAUGCAGCGACGCCGCGUGAGUGAAGAAGUAUUUCGGUAUGUAAAGCUCUAUCAGCAGGGAAGAAAAAAGACGGUACCUGACUAAGAAGCCCCGGCUAACUACGUGCCAGCAGCCGCGGUAAUACGUAGGGGGCAAGCGUUAUCCGGAUUUACUGGGUGUAAAGGGAGCGUAGACGGCGCGGCAAGUCUGAAGUGAAAGGCAGGGGCUUAACCCCUGAACUGCUUUGGAACUGUUAAGCUGGGGUGUCGGAGAGGG
rnacentral:rRNA from 1 species